rnacentral:rRNA from 1 species
GACGAACGCUGGCGGCGUGCUUAACACAUGCAAGUCGAACGGAAAGGCCCUGCUUUUGUGGGGUGCUCGAGUGGCGAACGGGUGAGUAACACGUGAGUAACCUGCCCUUGACUUUGGGAUAACUUCAGGAAACUGGGGCUAAUACCGGAUAGGAGCUCCUGCUGCAUGGUGGGGGUUGGAAAGUUUCGGCGGUUGGGGAUGGACUCGCGGCUUAUCAGCUUGUUGGUGGGGUAGUGGCUUACCAAGGCUUUGACGGGUAGCCGGCCUGAGAGGGUGACCGGCCACAUUGGGAAUGAGAUACGGCCCAGACUGCUACGGGAGGAAGCAGUGGGGAAUAUUGCAAAAUGGGCGGAAGCCCGAUGCAGCAACGCCGCGUGCGGGAUGACGGCCUUCGGGUUGUAAACCGCUUUCGCCUGUGACGAAGCGUGAGUGACGGUAAUGGGUAAAGAAGCACCGGCUAACUACGUG